UCACCGACAGAGCAGAACUGCUUCAGCCAUCAAUAAUAAUUCAGCACAUUAGGGUGAGGCCUAUAUACAGCCCACUGAGAGUUGGUUGAAAAGGAAGUCCCCACACUGUAGGAGAACUGAAAGGGCAUACUCAACAAAUCAGCGGCGAGUUCAAGAUGUGCUUUCACAUCGAUGAUUUCAUCUUCUCCUGACAACGACCCUGUGAGGAGCUGCAGCUGAGAAAGGCUGAAAAUUUGAGGGAAAAAAUGCAAGAUGUAGGGGUGCCUGAUGCUGUAUCUUUCCUGGAUAGAGGAC